rnacentral:lncRNA from 1 species
UUUUUUUAAUUGGGUUUCUUGUAUAGACUUUGUAACGCCCCAAAAUUUAGGGGGUUAGACAAAAUGAAUCAUCAAAAAAUAAGCCUUAGUCUUGAUGGUUAAGGGCUUAGGAUAUUGCCUAGAGAAUAGGUUCAAGCCAUACUCUCUCUAUUUUUCCUGUAAUACCCAAUUGUUGCCCGGGGCCCAAAUUAGCCAAUCAAUUCCAAUUACAUUUGGCCCAAUAAGGCCCAAGUCACUAACCCAAACCCCAAACCCUAGCCUAACCCUAAGUAACAGUUAGCAGCAACCUCCAGCGCCGUGCACGCCCCACGCCGCAGCAACCCCCACGCUGUUUCCACGUACCUGCAACAAAUAAACCACGAACAACAAACAAAAAAGAGGAAAUAUAGAAAAAUUGUAAAAAUUUUAGUUUUUGGGGCUGUAGAGAUUCGGCUAUAAAGGAGCGAAUUGUUUUUUGUAAAAGGCUAGGAGUUUUGAAAAAAACUUUUGAAAAGAAAUCAAAGGAAAAAAAGAAAAUUUUGGAAGGUUUGUUUUUUGGGUCUUUCUUUUACUAUUUUUUUAUUUUAUAAAAAACAAAAUAAACGGAAAGGAGUAGUGGAAGACUCACCGUCGUGGUGUCGUCGGAGAACCCCUUCGUUUCGUCGCCAUCAGAGCGCGAUGGGUUUGAAACGGCAGAGAAGGAAGAAGGCUACGACGCAUUUGUUUGGAAUGGCAGAAA